UCCGUGCCAGCAGCCGCGGUAAUACGGGAGGGUGCGAGCGUUAAUCGGAAUUACUGGGCGUAAAGCGCAUGCAGGUGGUUUUGUUAAGUCAGGAUGUGAAAGCCCGGGGCUCAAACCUCGGAAUAGCAUUUUGAAACUGGCAGACUAGAGUACUGUAGAGGGGGUAGAAUUUCAGGUGUAGCGGUGAAAUGCGUAGAGAUCUGAAGGAAUACCGGUGGCGAAGGCGGCCCCCUGGACAGAUACUGACACUCAGAUGCGAAAAGCGUGGGGAGCAAACAGGAUUAGAUACCCCUGGUAG
rnacentral:rRNA from 1 species